AUUGAACGCUGGCGGCAUGCCUUACACAUGCAAGUCGAACGGUAACGCGGGGCAACCUGGCGACGAGUGGCGAACGGGUGAGUAAUGUAUCGGAACGUGCCCAGUUGUGGGGGAUAACUGCUCGAAAGAGCAGCUAAUACCGCAUACGACCUGAGGGUGAAAGCGGGGGAUCGCAAGACCUCGCGCAAUUGGAGCGGCCGAUAUCAGAUUAGGUAGUUGGUGGGGUAAAGGCCUACCAAGCCGACGAUCUGUAGCUGGUCUGAGAGGACGACCAGCCACACUGGGACUGAGACACGGCCCAGACUCCUACGGGAGGCAGCAGUGGGGAAUUUUGGACAAUGGGCGCAAGCCUGAUCCAGCCAUGCCGCGUGCGGGAAGAAGGCCUUCGGGUUGUAAACCGCUUUUGUCAGGGAAGAAAAGACUCCUGUUAAUACCGGGGGUUCAUGACGGUACCUGAAGAAUAAGCACCGGCUAACUACGUGCCAGCCGCCGCCGUAAAAC
rnacentral:rRNA from 1 species